rnacentral:rRNA from 1 species
GACGAACGCUGGCGGCGUGCCUAAUACAUGCAAGUUGAGCGCUGAAGGUUGGUACUUGUACCAACUGGAUGAGCAGCGAACGGGUGAGUAACGCGUGGGGAAUCUGCCUUUGAGCGGGGGACAACAUUUGGAAACGAAUGCUAAUACCGCAUAAAAACUUUAAACACAAGUUUUAAGUUUGAAAGAUGCAAUUGCAUCACUCAAAGAUGAUCCCGCGUUGUAUUAGCUAGUUGGUGAGGUAAAGGCUCACCAAGGCGAUGAUACAUAGCCGACCUGAGAGGGUGAUCGGCCACAUUGGGACUGAGACUCGGCCCAAACUCCUACGGGAGGCAGCAGUAGGGAAUCUUCGGCAAUGGACGAAAGUCUGACCGAGCAACGCCGCGUGAGUGAAGAAGGUUUUCGGAUCGUAAAACUCUGUUGGUAGAGAAGAACGUUGGUGAGAGUGGAAAGCUCAUCAAGUGACGGUAACUACCCAGAAAGGGACGGCUAACUACGUG